GAAAUGCGAUACGUAACGUGAAUUGCAGGGUCUAGCGAAUCGUCGAAUCUUUGAACGCACAUUGCGCCCGCCGGACCCCCGGCGGGCAUGCCUGUCCGAGCGUCGUUUGGAAACCCUCAGGCCCGCGGCCUGGUGCUGGGCGUCCGUCCCCCGCGACGCGCCCCGAACCCCUCGGCGGCACGGUUCCGGUGCCGGGGCGUUAUCGUACAUCCGCGCCCCCGGAUCGACCGGACCCGCCGGCCACGAGCGGCCCCCGUGGCGGGGCCGACGCGACGAACGUCCGACCUCGGAUCAGGCAGGGACACCCGCUGAACUUAA
rnacentral:misc_RNA from 1 species